ACGAACGCUGGCGGCGCGCCUAACACAUGCAAGUCGAACGAGAAGCUGUAGCAAUACAGUUGUACAGUGGCAAACGGGUGAGUAACGCGUGGGUAAUCUACCCUCGGGUGGGGAAUAACUUUCCGAAAGGAGAGCUAAUGCCGACAUGUGCAGCACUUUCGCAAGAGGGUGUUGGAAAGCCGUAUCGAGGAUACGGCGCCCAAGGAUGAGCUCACGUCCUAUCAGCUUGUUGGCGGGGUAACGGCCCACCAAGGCUGCGACGGGGUAGCUGGUCUGAGAGGACGACCAGCCACACUGGCACUGCGACACGGGCCAGACUCCUACGGGAGGCAAGCAGUGAGGAAUAUUGCGCAAUGGACGACAGUCUGACGCAGCGACGCCGCGUGGGGGAUGAAGGCCUUCGGGUUGUAAACCCCUUUCAGGAGGGAAGAUGGGACGGGUAACCGUUCGGACGGUACCUCCAGAAGCAGCCACGGCUAACUCUGUGCCAGCAGCCGCGGUAAGACAGAGGUGGCAAGCGUUGUUCGGAUUUACUGGGCGUAAAGCGUGCGUAGGUGGUUCGGUAAGACCUGUGGGAAAUCCCUGGGCUUAACCCAGGAAGGUCGCAGGUGACUGCCGUGCUUGAGGACGGGAGAGGAGAGCGGAAUUCCCGGUGGUAGCGGUGAAAUGCGUAGAGAUCGGGAAGAAGGCCGGUUGGCGAAGGCGGCUCUCUGGAAACGUUCCUGGCACUGAGGCACGAAAGCGUGGGGAGCAAACAGGAUUAGAUACCCUGGUAGUCCACGCCCUAAACGAUGGGAACUAAGUGUCGGCGGGUUACCGCCGGUGCCGCACCUAACGGAGUAAGUUCCCCGCCUGGGGAGUACGGCCGCAAGGUUGAAACUCAAAGGAAUUGACGGGGGGCCCGCACAAGCGGUGGUGCAUGUGGUUCAAUUCGACGCAACGCGAAGAACCUUACCCAGAUUUGACAUGCUCGUAGUAAGAACCGGAAACGGGGGAUGAGUCCGCAAGGACAUCGAGCACAGGUGCUGCAUGGCUGUCGUCAGCUCGUGCCGUGAGGUGUUGGGUUAAGUCCCGCAACGAGCGCAACCCUUGUCUCCAGUUGCCAACGGGGUCAAGCCGGGAACUCUGGAGAGACUGCCCAGGAUAACGGGGGAGGAAGGUGGGGGAUGGCGUCAAGUCAGCAUGGCCUUUUAUAUCUGGGGCUACACACGUGCAACAAUGGCCGGUACAAAAGGGCUGCAAACCCGUGAGGGGAAGCCAAUCCCAGAAAACCGGCCUCAGUUCAGAUUGAGGGUCUGCAACUCGACCUCAUGAAGGAGGAAUCGCUAGUAAUCGCGGAUCAGCACGCCGCGGUGAAUACGUUCCCGGGCCUUGUACACACCGCCCGUCACACCACGAAAGCCCGCUGUACCAGAAGUCGCCGGAGCUAACCUGCAAAGGAGGCAGGCGCCCAAGGUAUGGUUGGUGAUUGGGG
rnacentral:rRNA from 1 species